rnacentral:rRNA from 1 species
UUUUGAAAGAAUUUCGGUGGAGGAUGACUUCGCGGCCUAUCAGCUAGUUGGUGAGGUAAUGGCUCACCAAGGCAACGACGGGUAGCCGGCCUGAGAGGGCGACUGGCCACUCUGGGACUGAGACACGUCCCAGACUCCUACGGGAGGCAGCAGUGGGGAAUAUUGGGCAAUGGAGGAAACUCUGAC